AAUUGUGAACGUUUUGUGCUUAAAAAAUAACUAAAAUUAACGAUAUUUAUUUGUAUUUUAAAAUUUAUUUAAUCAUUUGUUGGAUAUAAGAAUCGUCUGGUGAAUUAUAGCUGAAUUUGUGAUAAAGUUACGCAUCUCUUUUGUAUUAAAAAUAGCCAAUAAUUGUUAGUGAAAAUUUUCAGAUGUCGUCAAAGAUUUUUCCUGGGGUUCUAUGGAAUUGAAUUUUAGGCGAUGAAGAAGAGAGGGGACCAGAAAUUUCAAAUAUUAUAAACGGUUCGUCGGUGCCACUGCCAAGCAAAGUAUUUAUGAUACCCAACUGCCAAGCCAACCAAGAAUAGAGGAGUCUGCGUUUACAAUACCAGCAGAUCCAAAAA